rnacentral:rRNA from 1 species
UACGAAGGGGGCUAGCGUUGUUCGGAAUUACUGGGCGUAAAGGGCGCGCAGGCGGCCCUCCAAGUCAGGCGUGAAAUCCCCGGGCUUAACCUGGGAACUGCAUUUGUGACUGGCAAGCUAGAGUAUGGCAGAGGGGGGGUAGAAUUCCACGUGUAGCAGUGAAAUGCGUAGAGAUGUGGGAGGAAUACCGAUGGCGAAGGCAGCCCCCUGGGCCAAUACUGACGCUCAUGCACGAAAAGGCGUGGGGAGCAAACGAGGAUUACGAAACCC